rnacentral:rRNA from 1 species
GACGAACGCUGGCGGCGUGCUUAACACAUGCAAGUCGAGCGAUGAAGCACCUUCGGGUGUGGAUAGCGGCGAACGGGUGAGGAACACGUGAGGAAUCUGCCUUCCACUCUAGGAUAACUCCGGGAAACCGGGGCUAAUACCGGAUACUUUCAACUGGCGGCAUCGCCGGUUGAAGAAAGUUUUUCGGUGGAAGAUGACCUCGCGGCCUAUCAGCUUGUUGGUGAGGUAAUGGCUUACCAAGGCGACGACGGGUAGCCGGCCUGAGAGGGCGACCGGCCACACUGGGACUGAGACACGGCCCAGACUCCUACGGGAGGCAGCAGUGGGGAAUAUUGGGCAAUGGAGGAAACUCUGACCCAGCGACGCCGCGUGAGGGAUGAAGGCCUUCGGGUUGUAAACCUCUUUCAGCAGGGAAUAAGCGAAAGUGAAGGUACCUGCAGAAGGAGCACCGGCUAACUAUGUGCCAGCCGCCGCCGUAACAC